CCUACGGGUGGCAGCAGUGGGGAAUAUUGGACAAUGGGGGAAACCCUGAUCCAGCGACGCCGCGUGAGUGAAGAAGUAUUUCGGUACGUAAAGCUCUAUCAGCAGGAAAGAAAAUGACGGUACCUGACUAAGAAGCCCCGGCUAACUACGUGCCAGCAGCCGCGGUAAUACGUAGGGGGCAAGCGUUAUCCGGAAUUACUGGGUGUAAAGGGAGCGUAGACGGUUAAGUAAGUCUGGAGUGAAAGGCCGGGGCUCAACCCCGGGACUGCUCUGGAAACUAUUUAACUUGAGUGCAGGAGAGGUAAGCGGAAUUCCUAGUGUAGCGGUGAAAUGCGUAGAUAUUAGGAGGAACACCAGUGGCGAAGGCGGCUUACUGGACUGUAACUGACGUUGAGGCUCGAAAGCGUGGGGAGCAAACAGGAUUAGAUACCCUUGUAGUC
rnacentral:rRNA from 1 species